UUAAAAGUGAAAACCGGAUUAAUGUAAUUUCGGCAAACAUCGACAAAACAUUUGCUUGCAUUUUGAAUAUGAAGCUUGAAUGCAAAUAUGGAAAGUGCCAACCUAAGUCAGUAGCAAAGGACUCCAGGCUAAGCAGCCUUAAACAGAGAAGGGAGCUGCACAAGAGGCUGGAGACAGAAGCCACAUCCAUCUGCCAGGAGAUGGAGCUCAAAAUCUGGGCCUUGAAGGAGGCAUGGGCCACACAUGAAAAAAUCAGAUGGGGAGAGAGAGAAGAAACAGCGGGCAGUUGAGCUUCUCCAUGAUCUCAGCACCUUUGUGGAGGGAGAGCAGGAGAAACCAUGCAGAGAGAAGAUCCUGGAGGACACUGCAGAGCUCAACAUGAGACUGGGUGUAUGUGUGUGUGUUUCACACUGUGCAAAGCAAAACAGUGCUGGUUAUUAACAUACCACAAAAAUGACCAAGAAUCCUGAGCUGUCAGAGAUGCAGUGUCUCAUAGUAGCACAGUGACUACAGAAGUGAUUGAGACUGAGAAGAGAGAGAGCACUGAAAUAAAAAAAGAAGGGAGAACAUAAAGAGAAAGCAAAGAGGCUAGAGGAAUAAUGCAAAAAAGAUCGAGAGAAGAAAACAGGAAGUGAUGGAGAAGUGAGGAGGCUGGACAAGGAAGGAGGAAGAACAAAGAAGAGAUGGAGGCUGAAAUGAGCAUUUUCAGCACAUGGGCCAGCUGCAGCUCUGAGAGGUCCAAACUGUAAAACAUUAUGAGCUGCUAGGUUGUUUUUUUUUUUGUCUGUGAGCUACAAGCCUGGUUUGUAGUUCCGAGGCAGGAUUGCAAUUGCUAGUUAAAA